GCCGAUCAAGCGAAGGAAAAAAAAACAUAUACUUUUGACAUACACGAUGACGGUAGCUCGCUGACUUUGACACAAGCACACACAUUUUAACAAUUUAUUUCAGCUUAAAAAACUUUCAUCUUCGGCCAUUUUUUCCUCUCUCUCUCUCUUUCCUUCCACUCAAACACAAAACGAAUUUUAACGUUUUUUUUUUACGAGGUUUUUGUUGAAUAUUGAGCACAAAAUUGCAAAGAGUUAUUAAAUUUUUAACACUACAGUUUAUUCAAGAGUAUUUUUCGGGGUUUUUGUCUCGAAAUUUGUUAAUGGAUCGCCGGCGGUGUUUUACAUCCAAUGUUGCAUUGUCUUUCACUUUUUCAAUCGUUUUUUUUUAUUUCGCUGAAAGUGUUCCUUUCAUUUUGAAAAAUUGAAUAUUUUUAUACAUUUUAUUGGAUUUUUUGGGUUCUUUUUGCUCAAUUCAGCUCCUUUUAGAUUCAAUAUUUGAAAUUACGUCAACACUGUUCUUAUCUGUCCUGGCUUAUUUUACCUAAGGAACUGAUAGCACUUGAAUAUAUUGGCAGCUCACAUAUAUACACACACACAGUCAAACACACGCGUAUGCCAACACCAGCACACUAAAACUAUGGAAAAUUUUGGAAUUCUGGCGGAAACUACAGCAAUUUUCGAUGUCUUUACCCAAGCGCAGUAAUUGUUGGAAUUUUGCGCAUCAUCAGCAAGUUAUUCGAUUUGAAAGCAAUCGCGGUUGAAAUUUACAGUGCAAAAAAAAUGUGAGGUGACUUAAGUGGUAGAGUGCUCGUGUUGAUGGCAGUCUUUCGAUUGUCGUGUGGAUGUUGAUUUCGCGAAAAAAAAGAAGAGAAGAAGACUUUGUUCAAUGAAGAACCAAAAAAAAGAAUACCGUAUGGAGAAGGAAGGUAGAAAAAAAGAGCCGAAUUUCACGUUGAAUGAUCGAACGUUGAGCGCUGUCACGUCACUUGUUUCUGGUGGAAAAAGAAAACGCAAACGUGCGAUUUCUUUUCUCUUCUUCUUCUUUUUUUCUUCUGUCGUCGUCGUCGUCGUCGUCGUCGGUGGCCAAACUCUGUGAAUCGCUUGUUAUUGCCUUUUCCAUUUUUAUAUUUCACAUUGUUUCCGUGGUACCAAAUCAUACUUCUUUCUCUGUCUGCACGAUAGAACAUCAUAUUCCGUUUAACUUGAAUCGCAAAAAAAAAAAUCGCACACUCACACAACCAAACGCGCAUACAUUACUGAGCGCAGAAUAAGCAUAAAAAUCCAGAAAUAUUCGCAAAAUACACUCACACACACAUACACCAACACCGAAACCUAUAGUAGCUGUAACGAAAAAAAAUUUGUGCACACUCUCAAUUCGCGGAGCAAUGAAACAGUAACAAUUUCGGUUGUAAGAGAGUCGUCGGUGUUGAUCGGGAUAGAGAGAGAGAACAAGAACAGCGAAAUAAACGAUUUCAUGUCAAUGUCUAUAGAUGUGCUAGAAUACAAAAAUACGUUGAAGCUUUGGAUAAAAACUGCUGAUUCGGUUGUGUUUUUUUCUCUCAUUCGUUUCAGCUUUGAACCAGAACACUUUGACAUCGGAUGAUUUCAUAUGGCAAACGUAGUCGUCAAUCAUUGAUGGAAAUUUGAAGUUAAAAAAAUCAAACGGAAGAAGGAAAAAUAGACGAAAGACUCUUGCCGUGCAAUUGAAUGAUGGGGGUAAUUAGCGAUGUGCUCUCACGCGCGUUGCCGUCUCAAAUGUUGUUCAAUUAAAGUGGAAAUUUCUAAUAAAUCUUUUUACUGAUGCUGCCACCACCACCGACGGAAGUAUUUAAUUGCUUUGAAAUAUUCUCUAUUUUUUCCACAGAUAUUGCAACUACAUGCGUCUCAUUAUUAUACUAAUGGAAGAAGUGUUGUCGGUGCGCCGAAUACUGAGAAACGAAACUUUUAAUUUCUGUUGCUGUCGAGAUUUAAUCAUGAGAGAGAGAGAGAAAAAUAUACCGUUUGUGCAAUUUGUGGAAGGUUGCAAUUCAGCUCAGUAUGAAAAUUAUAACGACGACGACGACGACAACGGCAAAAGUUUAACGUUGACUGGCCUCAAAACUUGCUACAUUUUUCACGAUGCAAUUACAUUUUCGGUUCAAGAUGAAUGUGUUGGAUGCAAUGACGACGUUGAGCCACUUAAAGCGAUGCAUUUCGGAACUACACUGGCGUCGAAGAAACUUUGCUCGCAAUAAAUUUAUUCGCAAUAUUCGACAUACAUUCGACAUUGUUUCGCAAUUUUGUUGUAAAUUUUUAUCGUUGAAAUAUUUCAUAAAGUUAAGUAGAAUAAUUUUUAUUUGCAGAGAAUGCUUUGAAAUUUAUCGACAAAGACACAUUUUCUUCACGCCUUGCGAAGCAUACUACAAAGGAAACUUUGCCCGUUUUGUACGAGUUUUGCGAUGUUUCUUUCGACAUUCUUUGAAAUGGUUUAACACAACGAAAGGAACGAAAAAAAAAUCGAGAAAAACGAAUACGAAAAGUGGCUGAAAAUAAUAAAAUUCAGAAAUUUAACAAUGUAGGUGGGUGAGUUAUGGCUUUUCACUGUUUUUGUGCAUCGCACAUCCAUAGAACGUGUUGACCUAUUGUGCAACGACAUGAACAUGCUCCGUCAGAACGAACAAAAAAUUACUCGUUUCAAUUACACACUUUAACCCAUUCAUCGGGAUUAAUUUUCGUCAAUGUUUUUACGUGUUUUUUUCCAUCUCUCUUCCUCGCUCUCUCUCUCUCUCUCUGCCCUGCAGCUUCCAUUUUCGAGACGACGCAUAAUAUGGUGCAUUGCAUUUGUUGUUGGACUUAAUACGCUGAAAUUCAUUCGAUGAUGUAAUUGUAAAUAAUAUUGUUAUGCAAAUAUCCCCGAGUUGUAUCCGACUCAUGGCGAUGAUGAUGCAGAUGAUGAAUACAGCGCAUCGCAUUACAAGUUAGCAGGUCAUACAGUAGCAUUUAAUAAAACCAUACUAUACAACCUACUACCUCAUAGUGCAAAAGCUUCAUUACCGGUUGCCAUACAACGUACAACGCCGAUUAUUACAUGCCAUUGACAGCUGGGCCUGCUUCAUCAAUUAGUUUUCGACCCGUUGUCAUUUAAUGAUUCCUGCUGGAUGAAGAAUGUCAAAAUUCAAUUUUCGAUUUUCCUACAUUAUCACGCUGUUUCAUACCCGAAACAAAACGCUUUAAAUUGCCUUCAUUAAAUGGAUUUU